UGAAAACAGAGCUCUCCGUGGUUGGC
rnacentral:piRNA from 1 species